GAUGAACGCUGGCGGCGUGCCUAAUACAUGCAAGUCGAGCGAACAGACGAGGAGCUUGCUCCUCUGACGUUAGCGGCGGACGGGUGAGUAACACGUGGAUAACCUACCUAUAAGACUGGGAUAACUUCGGGAAACCGGAGCUAAUACCGGAUAAUAUAUUGAACCGCAUGGUUCAAUAGUGAAAGACGGUUUUGCUGCCACUUAUAGAUGGAUCCGCGCCGCAUUAGCUAGUUGGUAAGGUAACGGCUUACCAAGGCAACGAUGCGUAGCCGACCGGAGAGGGUGAUCGGCCACACUGGAACUGAGACACGGUCCAGACUCCUACGGGAGGCAGCAGUAGGGAAUCUUCCGCAAUGGGCGAAAGCCUGACGGAGCAACGCCGCGUGAGUGAUGAAGGUCUUCGGAUCGUAAAACUCUGUUAUUAGGGAAGAACAAAUGUGUAAGUAACUAUGCACGUCUUGACGGUACCUAAUCAGAAAGCCACGGCUAACUACGUG
rnacentral:rRNA from 1 species